GACGUAGGGCGCGAGCGUUGUCCGGAUUUAUUGGGCGUAAAGAGCUCGUAGGCGGCUUGUCGCGUCGACUGUGAAAUCCCGCGGCUCAACUGCGGGUCUGCAGUCGAUACGGGCAGGCUAGAGUUCGGUAGGGGAGACUGGAAUUCCUGGUGUAGCGGUGGAAUGCGCAGAUAUCAGGAGGAACACCGAUGGCGAAGGCAGAUCUCUGGGCCGUAACUGACGCUGAGGAGCGGAAAGCAUGGGGAGCGAACAGG
rnacentral:rRNA from 1 species